UACGUAGGCAGCGAGCGUUGUUCGGAGUUACUGGGCGUAAAGGGUGUGUAGGCGGUUGCUUAAGUUUGGUGUGAAAUCUCCCGGCUCAACUGGGAGGGUGCGCCGAAUACUGAGUGACUCGAGUGCGGGAGAGGAGAGUGGAAUUCCUGGUGUAGCGGUGAAAUGCGUAGAGAUCCGGAAGAACACCGGUGGCGAAGGCGGUCUGACUGGGCAGUUGCUGGACACUGAUGCGCGACAGCGUGGGAGCAACAGG
rnacentral:rRNA from 1 species